rnacentral:rRNA from 1 species
GACGUAGGGGGCCAGCGUUGUUCGGAAUUACUGGGUGUAAAGGGUUCGCAGGCGGUGCGGCAAGUUGGGAGUGAAAUCUCUGGGCUUAACCCAGAGGCUGCUUCCAAAACUGCUGUGCUUGAGUGUGGGAGAGGCGCGUGGAAUUGCAGGUGUAGCGGUGAAAUGCGUAGAUAUCUGCAGGAACACCCGUGGCGAAAGCGGCGCGCUGGACCACUACUGACGCUGAGGAACGAAAGCUAGGGGAGCAAACAGG